rnacentral:misc_RNA from 1 species
AAGUCGUAACAAGGUUUCCGUAGGUGAACCUGCGGAAGGAUCAUUAACAAAAUAUUCUUACUUUGCUUGGGAUUUUAUCUCGAGUAAAGUGAAUAUGGAUUUAAUCCAUCCAUAUCCACCCCAUUGUGCACCGUUAUCCUGUCUUUUGCUUUUCCGGUGGUUCUCAGUUUCUGCUUUUUGGUCGAAGAAAGUAUUUUUUGAUCAUAAAAGUGCGACUUCCCACCGGGCGGCAUUACUUUUAAACCCCAGUUAAUUUUUCCAAGUCAUUUAAAAUUUUUUUUCUCUUUGCAAUUUAAAACCUGCAUCCUGAAAAAGAAAAAAUUGUAAUCAAAUACAACUUUCAACAAUGGAUCUCUUGGCUCUC